UAACACCAAGGGAUCUUUAAGUGCGGCGGUGAAGUGGCUUCCAACGCGUAGCCUUCCUUGACGUUGGUGCCUUAACUAAACCACCAUGACUGUUCUCCGGGGUGUUCUCUACAUGGCCAUUGGAGCUUGGCUGGGCCUGCGCACACCACGAUUCCUGCUCUAUGUGGCAGGAUUUCGGAAGGAGGGAGUAAAGUCUGGCAGUUGCGCCGCAAAAUGGCAGUCAAGUAUCCGUGGCAAGGUCCAAAAGAGCCACAUGUUCGCCGAGUUCCAGCGAUGGGGCGUGGCGGGCCCCCCGGCUAUAGUUUCAUACAACUGCGCCAUAAUAGCACUCCACUGGAGCCUGUACCUUGCACGAUAGCUGCUCGAUAACAGGCAUGCCAAAUGCGUGAUUCGACUGGAGAACCACUAGCAGCUGUAAUACCUGUUUGGAACGGUUUCUCGUUCAAUUCCACAAAAAUUUGUGUCUGGCUCUCAGUGGUUUCUAAAAGGUAAACGAUCUGGAAUGCGAGUCCCAUCAAGGGACGAACGGACGGUGAAAAUGGGUAGUGCACUCCUUUAUCAAGCAAUAAUUCAAUCACUGAAUAAAUCACACCAUUUCAUUAUCAGCGCAAAUUGACGCCAUGAGGGCAAAAAAGCCUACUUACCAAAUGUAAAAAAAAAAACGUUACGUCGAAGCAGAUAAGGAGUUCCCUAAAGAACAACAUUAUAAUGGUAAAAUGUCGCUCAGCAAUGCAGUGAUAUAAGAGGAGGGUAGCUAUAUCCACGAAGCUACCGCGGCAGAUCUCAUGUUUCUUACGCCUAUUUGUUCUCAGGACUUAGAACUACACUGAACCCAUCAGCUGCAAGUUGCUACCGAAAAAAAAACCCCAGCUUAUUCCAAUCUUCAAAUCCCAGGUGCAGACACGCACUGAUUCCAAAGAGAUGUUUAUCCAGGACGGGCAUUUAUACCAUCAUAAUCGACAAGUUCAAUGGCAAUCACCGAUGCAAACAUUAAUGCCUGGCAUGUUCACCUAAAGUGAUUGCUUCCAAAGGUGUAAAAAAGCCGUGUCUUCUUUUUACCACAAAGCCCAGACACUCCUCUCAAGAAGUUCGUCUAGAGUACGGCUUUUUCAAAAGUUUCUUGAAUCGAUCAUUUACAACCCCGCCCUUCCCUCGUCUCCCAGGCAUUUUCAACUAAUUUUAGAUUCUCUCGGGAAAACAAUCAAAUUCGUUAUCCCCAGACACUUUCUCCUUUAGCACGAUUCUGUCUCUGUAAAAAUUUAAAUCUCGUAGCUUCCAUUUUUGGUUAGAAUCCUCAGAAAACAUCUGAAACGAUAAUA